rnacentral:rRNA from 1 species
UACGUAGGGGGCAAGCGUUGUCCGGAAUUAUUGGGCGUAAAGCGCGUGUAGGCGGUCCGGUAAGUCGGCUGUGAAAGUCCAGGGCUCAACCCUGGGAUGCCGGUCGAUACUGCCGGACUAGAGUUCGGAAGAGGCGAGUGGAAUUCCUAGUGUAGAGGUGAAAUUCGUAGAUAUUAGGAAGAACACCAGUGGCGAAGGCGGCUCACUGGUCCGGUACUGACGCUGAGGUGCGAAAGCGUGGGGAGCAAACAGG